CGUCAGAGUCUAUUUUUAAUCCUAAUUAUCUUACUGAACCGUGUCUAUAUCACGUGACACUCGCCUCCGUUGUAUCCUGCUGCUCGCCUUAACGACUGUAGACGACGAAAUCAACAACAAUGCCGCCUAAGGACG